rnacentral:antisense_RNA from 1 species
AAAGAGUAACCAGCCACCCGGGCUUGUAACUCCCGUUCUCGCACUCCAGAUAAGGCGAAGACCACUUGACGUGGCUCUUGUCCCCGCCGAGCCCGUCCUUGCGCCGCCAGCUGUGGCCCAGGCCCCGGGGCCCCUGAUUGGGGCCGCGGCGGUGUAAGUGGGGCCUCCACUUGCGCCGGAGGCCGUGGAACCACUCCGUCUCCAGGGUGGCGUUGGCCAGGUGGGGUGCGGAGGAGGACAGGUCUUGGAAAAGGAUGCGGCUCUCCUCGCGCGUGGCCUGGAGGAAGACCUGUGGGGCCGGCGCGGACAGCGACUCGGUGCUGAAGGUGAUGGCCGCCCGGGAGAUGCUGGGCUCGCCCUCCAGAAGGCUCCGAACCAGAGCCUGGUACCACUCCAGGUCGUCCUGCAAGUUCUGCUCCCGCGACUUAUUGCUCUGCAGCAUCACGUUGAGGAAGUUGGUGGCGUGUGUCAGUGUGUCCAGCGCCCCGUGCAAGGAGGGAUGCGCGCUGGCCAGGGCUGGCCACUUCCCCGGCAGGCCCGCCAACUCGUAGCGGCCGGAGCAGUUGGCUCGCUUCAGCUGGUGGGAGUCCCCGGUGUAGAGCACUAUUCCUAGGCCUCCAAGGUGUCUCCUCAAAGACUGGCUGACCCACUUUCCAGAUGGAGCCAACAUCAUCCUCUGUCUCAUCCAUAAAUCAUGAACAGAAGGCCCAGGAAAUGAGAAGCGGAGUCCCCACUGGGAGAGGAGCAGAGCUUCCAGCAUGAGGCCCACAGCGAGAUCACAGAAGCACAGCGGAAUUCUCCAGAAAGCCAGUUGUGAUCAAUGGCAGCACAGCCUGGUCCCACAUGAAAUGUUCCUGGAUUUUAAAACACAAAUAAACAGUAAUGCAGAAAUUAGAGAAGACGUAUCGUUUACCAAAUUUAAUCUGGCACAUUUAAUAAUACAUUAUGAUAAUUAUGGCACCUGAAAGCUAGAUAUAAAUACUCAUUCAUUUGCAAUUCAUUGACAAUAAUAGUUAUUUCUGAGAUUCCCUCAGACCAAUGAUGGGAAAGAGAAAAGAUAAAGUUAAUGAGCUUCUCCUCUGACAGAAGGAGGUCACAGGCCACUCUUCUGGUCGUCAUUCUGUAAAAAGGAUUAAAGGUAUGAGCUCAGGGAAGGAUGACUUCCCACAGUACUUUCUUGAAGUUCUUUUGGAAGAAGAAAUAGUUAGAUACCCUAGAGAGGCUGAUUUCGGUGUUCAUUUAGAAGUCAAAGGCAUGAGGUCAGACCUUGGUCUCAUAAUAGAUUAACAGCAAGAGAAAUUAUUACUGUGGGUUUUGUUUUUGUAUUUAUUUAUUUAUUUAGACAUCAAGAAACUGUGAAACUGAGCAGCCCUUCAGUGGGAGCUGGUAGGAAGGGCAGCUAGAUAUGUAAGCAAUCUAGAAAAACAGUUGUACUUUCAGUAACUAAUAAAAUUUAGUCCAAGUAUUUGCCUAAGACUUUUACUUUUUAGUACUCAUACUUUUUACUACUCAUCCCAAGUAAAUUAAGAAUUGAAGUCGGAAAGGCCAGAUCACAGAAUGUCUCUUAAAUAUAGGCAAAUGAUUUUAGAUUUUAUACAGUAAUUUCUUGAUCACUGAUAAGUUUGUCUCUAAUAUUGACUCAAAGGUGAGGAAAAGAGUAGUUCUCAGACAAAAAAAAAAUGCCCAGGAAUAGGUAUCAACAUAGCCAAAUGACUUGUGAAUUACUGAAUUCCUAAAAGCCAGGACAGAGCUUUUGAAAAUUAUGAUAAAGUUAUCUUCUUCUUCAGUUUUUUGGCGUUGUAUUACAAUGUCUAGGAAGGAAGCUGGGUUUCCCCACCCUCACAUCUACUCCCUUCUAUGAGGAAGGCAGAUAUAGGACAAGGACCAGGACAGUACUGGACCAUAGCACUAAGGGGUAGGCUUUUAGGCAUUAAGAGUGCAGAAGAUAAAAUUUAAAAAUCAAUCCAUCUUAAUCAAUAAAACAUCUUAUCUCUGCAUAGUAUACCUACCUGAAUUCCUUUUUUGGAAUCUUUUUCCUUAUUUAAACUUGUCAUUUGAGCAGCUGAAGUAAAAAUAUGGGCCCAGGACCCCCUUCUUAGUGAGGAAAUCGCUUCCUACCUUCACCCCAACCACAUCGUCACUAAAACAAAUCAAUUAAAAACAGCCUCCAAUCAAAGGUCAAAGGAAACCAGAGGGAGCUAAGGGAAAAUGCACCAUGAAGUGGGCAGUUCAGCCUGGUCAUUCUAGCUCUUCCUUCUAAGAGCUUAAGUUUUAAUUCAUAAAUUAUCUCUUCCUGGUUGGGUUUGGCUUUUGUGGUUUUUUUCUUGCCAUAAAAGUGAUAAGGCAUGAAAUUCCAAGUUUAGGGUGUGAGCCUGGGGGAAAAAUAGCCAAGAAAACCACCUGGUUGCCUUCAGGCUAGGCUUCCAAGUCCUAGGGGC